rnacentral:rRNA from 1 species
ACCCUCCCAUUUUUGAUGGCUACCUCAAUCAACUGGGUGUAGACCUGGCAUACAUGAUUAGCUCAGUUUUGGGGUAUAAGUCACUAGAGUUUAUUGAAGAAACUGUACUAGUGAUGAUGACAAUGUUUUCCCCUGUCAAUACUCCUAUCUAUUAUGAUUACGCUACAUACAUUUCAGAAAAGAUGCAUGAGCAAGUCUUGAACUUGUCCAGAGAAAAGGUGUUUAGAUACACCUCCUACAUUUACCACCUCAUCCUUUACUACCAACAUGAGAAGUUCUCCUUUGAGAUCAAGAGAACUGAUGCAGCAGGCAAUCCAAGGUCAGUGGUGNNNNNNNNNNNNNNNNNNNNCUGACUGAUGAGAUGCAGAGGAUUUUGCAGCUAUCCAGUGCAUACAGCAUAGGGGAUUGGUACUUUUACCAACACCAUACUGUAAUCAGAAUAUAUGGGUGUGAGUUACGCCCAUACAGAUUGCCUAGGUAUGUGCCUAUGAGACUGUUUGCCUUAGAAUAUUUCAGGCAAUUUGGCAAUGCCGAUAUGGUGCACUUUGCAGGCAGGGGCAAGAAGGCACAGCUUAAAGUAAGAAAUCAACUGGGCCACUUUGUCUUAAACAAAAGGGAAGGCUGGAAAGAUGCUGACAGAAAACUAGAAGGCCUUGGCCUAAAACAAAGCUUCCUUUGGAAGCCUUAUGACCCUAACAUGUCCAUAUCCUUGAGAAGGCAGAAAUACAAGCUCUCCAGUUAUGAACAUGUGAGCAUUCCCUACAUUCAAAGACAUGCCAACCAACCAAAAUGGAGAAGGAACACACUGGAAGAACCAGUUACUCAGGAAGAAUUAGUUGAAAGGGCCAGAAGGCAUUUACUAAAAAUGGCUGACUUAGAAUCUCCUUCUCAGGUACUUACUCUGCCAAAGCCUCAAGCAGGAGUAGCUACUUCAUCUUCUACAACACAUCAAGGGGCAGUGCAAACCACAGACCAAGAUCAAAGAAAGGGCAAGGAAAGGGUUAUGGAAGAGCCACAAGUACAACAGGGUCAAGAGCAGCCACCCCAACAGGAACAACAGCAAAAGGACCAACAGGGUCAGGGGAAACAAACAGCAGAGGCCCCAAUGGCCACCCAAGAGCAGCCAGUGCAAAUGGCACCCCCAAGGCAGGAUUCAAGGAUUGACUCUUCCAUCCUCCAGACCCCUCAAAGGGAGGAUGUUGGGUCAUUGAGAAACCUCAGGCAUGAGCUUGGGUGGAUUGGCCCCCCGGUGCAGAUCUUGUUGGUAGUAGCAAAUAUUCAAAUGAGAACUUUGAAGACUAAAGUGGGGAAAGGUUCCAUAUGAAUAGAACUUUGACAUGGUUUAGUUGAUCCUAAGAUAUGGGCAAGCCUUGUAUCAAGGGUGCACUUUGCAGGAGCAUUGAAAGGGAAUCAGGUUAAUAUUCCUGAACCGGGACAUGGUGGCGUGCAACAAUAUUAGGAAAUCCGAAGACGUUGUAAAGUUAUAUUUUCUUUUUAAUAGCUUACCCACCUUGGAAUCGGUUCACCCGGAGAUAGGGUCUAGCAUAUGGAAGAGAAUCAUACGUCUUACGGUGUCCGAUGCACCCUUGGCUACCCUUGAACAUAUGGAGGACCGAGUACCAUUAAUGCCCGGUCAUACUCAUAAUCACAUCAGGUCUCCAAGGUGAACAACCUCUGACCAAUAGAACAAUGUAGGUAAGGGAAGUCGGUAAAACGAAUUUGUAACUUUGGGAAAAGGAUUGUCUCUGAGGGCUGGGCCUAGGGGUCUGCACCCUCAACUCAUGGGUUGUUGGUAAUCUUCCUGAGCUGCUCUCGCUGCGAGGGUGGGAAGUUGCGUGCCAAUUUGGCUACGGACCUAGAAUGCCCCCUAUAGGGGGCUCUUCCCUAGGCAGCAAACAAUCGACUCAGAACUGGUAUGGAUAAGGGGAAUCUGACUGCUUAACUAAAACAAAUAAAUGUGAUGGUACCUAUGGAUACUGAUGCAAUGUGAUUUCUUCCCAGUUCUCUAAAUUUCAAAGUGAAGAAAUUCAACAAAGCAUAGGUAAACGACGGGAGUAACUAUGACUCUCUUAUGGUAGCUGAAUGCCUCGUUGUCUAAUUAGUGACGUACAUGAAUGGAUUAAUGAGAUUCUCAUUGUCCCUAUCUACUAUCUAGUGAAACCAAAGCCAAGGGAAUGGGAUUGGAAUAAUCAGUGGGAAAAGAAGACCCUUUUCAGCUUGACUCUAGUCCGACUUUGUGAAAUGAAUUUAGAGGUGUAGAAUAAGUGGGAUCCAUUUUCGUUGCAAGUGAAAUAGCACUAAUUUUAACGUUAUUUUACUUAUUUCGUGGGGCGAAGAUGGGUCACUACCCCUAUUUUUGGCCUUCAGACAUAUUUUAGCAGGUCAAUCCAGGUGGAAGACAUUAUCAAGUAGGGAUUUUGGCUAGGGUGGCAUAUCUGCUAAAAGAUAACGCAGGUGUCUUAAGAUGAGCUCAAAGAGAACAUAAAUAUUGUGUGGAACAAGGGGUAAAAGAUCAUUGAUUUUUAUUUUUAGUAUGAAUACAAACUAUGAAAGUGUGGCUUAUUGAUACUUUACAUUUUUGGAAUUUGAAGCUAGAGGUGUUAGAAAAGUUACAACAGGGAUGGCAGCCAAGUGUUCGUAGCGACGUUGCUUUUUGAUCCUUCGAUGUCGAGUCUUCCUAUCAUUGUGAAAUAUAAUUCAACAAGUGUUGGAUUGUUCAUCCACCAAUAAGGAACGUGAGCUAGUUUUAGACUGUAGUGAGACAGGUUAGUUUUACCCUACUGAUGAACCACACCGCAAUAGUAAUUCAACUUAGUACAAGAGGAACCGUUGAUUCACACAAUUAGUCAUCCUUCUUGGCUGAAACGCCAGUGGCGUGAAGCUACUAUUUGUCAGAUUAUGACUAAACACCUUUAAGUCAUAAUCCACGGUAGAAGCAGUGCAUGUCACUCUUUGACUAUAUCUUGACCCAGAGUAGGGGCAUCGCUUUUUCACCCCCAGGGGCCCGUGUCAUUUGCAAACUGCGAUUGUGAAGCUUCUCAGUUAGGGGAGAUUUGAAGUUCAAUUCCAAAUGUUCAUUGAGAAGUAU